rnacentral:snRNA from 1 species
GUGCUCGCUUUGGCAGCACAUACACUAAAAUUGUAACGAUACAGAGAAGAUUAGCAUGGCCCCUGCGCGAGGAUGACGUGCAAAUUCGUGAACCAUUCCAUAUUUUU